rnacentral:rRNA from 1 species
AGAGUUUGAUCAUGGCUCAGAACGAACGCUGGCGGCGUGGAUAAGACAUGCAAGUCGAACGAGACUUUCCGUUGUAGCAAUACGAUGGAAAGUUUAGUGGCGAACGGGUGCUUAACACGUGGGCAACCUGCCAUGAAGUGGGGGAUAGCUCGCCGAAAGGCGAAUUAAUACCGCAUGUGAUUAGAAAGGACAUCCUUUCAAAAUUAAAGUCGGGGCAACCUGACGCUUCUUGUGGGGCCCGCGGCCUAUCAGCUAGUUGGUGAGGUAACGGCUCACCAAGGCUUUGACGGGUAGCUGGUCUGAGAGGACGACCAGCCACACUGGGACUGAGACACGGCCCAGACACCUACGGGUGGCAGCAGUCGAGAAUUUUUGACAAUGGGGGAAACCCUGAUCGAGCGACGCCGCGUGGAGGAUGAAGGUCUUCGGAUUGUAAACUCCUGUCAUUUGGGAACAAGGUGCACACGUUAACUGCGUGUGUAUUGAUAGUACCAGAAGAGGAAGAGACGGCUAACUCUGUGCCAGCAGCCGCGGUAAUACAGAGGUCUCAAGCGUUGUUCGGAUUCAUUGGGCGUAAAGGGUGCGUAGGCGGCGCGGUAAGUCGGGUGUGAAAUCUCGGAGCUUAACUCCGAAACUGCAUUCGAUACUGCCGUGCUUGAGGACUGGAGAGGAGACUGGAAUUUACGGUGUAGCGGUGAAAUGCGUAGAUAUCGUAAGGAAGACCAGUGGCGAAGGCGGGUCUCUGGACAGUUCCUGACGCUGAGGCACGAAGGUCAGGGGAGCAAACGGGAUUAGAUACCCUAGUAGUCC